CCACGGGCGGCUGCAGUGGGGAAUAUUGGACAAUGGGCGAAAGCCUGAUCCAGCCAUGCCGCGUGUGUGAAGAAGGCCUUCGGGUUGUAAAGCACUUUCAGUGGGGAAGAAAGCCUUGGGGCUAAUACCCUCGAGGAAGGACAUCACCCACAGAAGAAGCACCGGCUAACUCCGUGCCAGCAGCCGCGGUAAUACGGAGGGUGCGAGCGUUAAUCGGAAUUACUGGGCGUAAAGCGCGCGUAGGCGGUCUGAUAAGCCGGUUGUGAAAGCCCCGGGCUCAACCUGGGAACGGCAUCCGGAACUGUCAGGCUAGAGUGCAGGAGAGGAAGGUAGAAUUCCCGGUGUAGCGGUGAAAUGCGUAGAGAUCGGGAGGAAUACCAGUGGCGAAGGCGGCCUUCUGGACUGACACUGACGCUGAGGUGCGAAAGCGUGGGUAGCAAACAGGAUUAGAUACCCGUGUAGUC
rnacentral:rRNA from 1 species